rnacentral:rRNA from 1 species
UGCCAGCAGCCGCGGUAAUACGUAAGUGGCACACGAUGUCCGGAUUCACUGGGUGUAAAGCGCAUGUAGGCGGCUCUCUAAGUCUGAGGCGAAAUCUCUGGGCUCAACCCAGAAACGGCCUUGGAAACUGGCGAGCUUGAGGGUCAGAGGGGAAAGUGGAAUUUCGGGUGUAGCGGUGAAAUGCAUAGAUAUCCGAGAGGACACCGAUGGCGAAGGCAGCUUUCUGGCUGACUCCUGACGCUGAGAUGCGAAAGCUAGGGUAGCGCACGGGAUUAGAUA